CCCAGACUCCUACGGGAGGCAGCAGUGGGGGAUAUUGCACAAUGGGGGAAACCCUGAUGCAGCGACGCCGCGUGAGUGAAGAAGUAUUUCGGUAUGUAAAGCUCUAUCAGCAGGGAAGAAAAAAGACGGUACCUGACUAAGAAGCCCCGGCUAACUACGUGCCAGCAGCCGCGGUAAUACGUAGGGGGCAAGCGUUAUCCGGAUUUACUGGGUGUAAAGGGAGCGUAGACGGCAAUACAAGUCGGAAGUGAAAUACCCGGGCUCAACCUGGGAACUGCUUUGGAAACUGUAUGGCUGGAGUGCUGGAGAGGUAAGCGGAAUUCCUAGUGUAGCGGUGAAAUGCGUAGAUAUUAGGAGGAACACCAGUGGCGAAGGCGGCUUACUGGACAGUAACUGACGUUGAGGCUCGAAAGCGUGGGGAGCAAACAGGAUUAGAUACCCGAGUA
rnacentral:rRNA from 1 species